CGCUUGACUGCGAGACAGACACGUCGAGCAGGUACGAAAGUAGGUCUUAGUGAUCCGGUGGUUCUGUAUGGAAGGGCCAUCGCUCAACGGAUAAAAGGUACUCCGGGGAUAACAGGCUGAUACCGCCCAAGAGUUCAUAUCGACGGCGGUGUUUGGCACCUCGAUGUCGGCUCAUCACAUCCUGGGGCUGAAGCCGGUCCCAAGGGUAUGGCUGUUCGCCAUUUAAAGUGGUACGCGAGCUGGGUUUAGAACGUCGUGAGACAGUUCGGUCCCUAUCUGCCGUGGACGUUUGAGAUUUGAGAGGGGCUGCUCCUAGUACGAGAGGACCGGAGUGGACGAACCUCUGGUGUUCCGGUUGUCACGCCAGUGGCAUUGCCGGGUAGCUAUGUUCGGAAAAGAUAACCGCUGAAAGCAUCUAAGCGGGAAACUUGCCUCAAGAUGAGAUCUCACUGGGAACUUGAUUCCCCUGAAGGGCCGUCGAAGACUACGACGUUGAUAGGCUGGGUGUGUAAGCGUUGUGAGGCGUUGAGCUAACCAGUACUAAUUGCCCGUGAGGCUUGACCAUAUAACACCCAAACA
rnacentral:rRNA from 1 species